rnacentral:tRNA from 1 species
GGAGAGGUGUCGGAGUGGUCUAACGAGCUAGUCUUGAAAACUAGUAUGGCCUUACGGUCAUCGCGAGUUCGAAUCUCGCCCUCUCCGCUA